rnacentral:rRNA from 1 species
UCUACCUUCGAGUGGGGAAUAACAUCGGGAAACCGANGCUAAUACCGCAUAACGCAGCGGCAUCGCAAGAUGACAGUUGUUAAAGGAGCAAUCCGCUUGAAGAGGAGCUUGCGGCAGAUUAGCUAGUUGGUAAGGUAAUGGCUUACCAAGGCUUCGAUCUGUAUCCGGUCUAAGAGGACGGUCGGACACACUGACACUGAAUAACGGGUCAGACUCCUACGGGAGGCAGCAGUCGGGAAUUUUGGGCAAUGGGCGAAAGCCUGACCCAGCAACGCCGCGUGAAGGAUGAAGUAUUUCGGUAUGUAAACUUCGAAAGAAUGGGAAGAAUCAAUGACGGUACCAUUUAUAAGCUCCGGCUAACUACGUGCCAGCAGCCGCGGUAAUACGUAUGGAGCAAGCGUUGUUCGGAUUUACUGGGCGUAAAGGGCGCGUAGGCGGCCUGUCAAGUCAACUGUGAAAUCUCCGGGCUUAACUCGGAACGGNCAGUUGAUACUGUCAGGCUAGAGUGCAGAAGGGGCA